rnacentral:tRNA from 1 species
GCUUCCUUAGCUCAGUUGGUUAGAGCGCUCGCUUCACACGCGAGAGGUCGCUGGUUCGAGUCCAGUAGGAAGCACCA